UUCACAAAAAAAAAAAAAAAAAAAGCCUUUUGUUAUGUGUGUUUUCUAGAAGUUAUCUAAGCUAGUAAAGCCUUCUUGAUCAUAUCGAUCUCUACAUAGUUUCGGAUCAUUCUAUCCCUUUGGAUUUCUCCUUUGGAAGCUUCAAACUUCUAUGUUAUGCAUUGAGCUAGAACUACAUAUCCAAGGAGUUGAGCCAACUUUCAAUGAUCCAAGAUUUAAAAAGUUCUGCAUAAAUUCAAGUCUAGCUUUUGGCUUGGCAAACACCGAAUGAAGAAAUGAACAUGCCUCGAUCAACAAUCUAAGAAAAUAGAAUUGUGCCGAAAAGGAGAGGAACAGUUUGGAAUCUGGAUCAUUCAUUACAACAACUUCAAGUGCCUGUGUACUCAAUUGGACCAAUUUAGGAGUGGGCCUUCUCUGUAAUAAAAAGUUUCUGGUCAAGGUAAAUCUUUUGAUGCCCUUGAUUAGGUUUUUGUGGUUGGAGAUGGUCAAUUUCCCUAAGAGUUAUUUGAUUUAGGUCUGAAGUUGUUAUCUUCAUGCAUGAGUGUGUAGUUGCAGAUGCCUUUGAUUAGGUUUCUGGGUGGGAGAUAGUAAUUUUACAUAAAGGUCAUUGUACAUGGACUCAAUUGUAUUCUCCUUUGUGCAUAGUAUGAAGGAAUUCCUGGGAAUAGAAUAGGUUGAACACAGCUUAUUAUGGUGGAGUAUCAUUAAAAUGAGAUGUAUUGUUUGACAGUAAAUGGUUAAUUGCUUUUGGGGCGAUAGCUUUUUAUGUGAGUGAACAGAAUUGCCUGCUGUUUCUGGACAUUUUUCUUCCAACUUUGGUGACCACAUUCAAAUCAUCUGCAUGUAAACCAUUUACACAAAACAGAGAGAAUACUAAAGCCAGAGUCUCAAAACCCAAAGCUCAGGAAAAUACAGAGUGAACAUUUGUGGGGGUGAACUUCUUUAGCAUAUUUCAAGAAGUUUAUCUUCAGAUGAAGGAUCAACGUGUAUCUAAUAUUCUAAAGUGCUUUGAUGCAAUAGAUGACCUGAAAGUAGAGGCAGAAGCAAAAAUCAAAAAGCAAAUACUUUGUUGAUUUGACAAAGCAGCCUUUUCGUUUAAAUUUUUACCAUUCAAGGUAUCAUAUUCAGUGCUAUUCAGACUUCUUGGAGAUGAGGCAAAGGGUGGUUGGAUAGCACAUAUCUCAAGAAGAAGUAAGUGCAGGGAACAACAUUUGCUCUGCAGAGAGAGCUGAACUUAGGCAAAGACUAUUGUCAAUCAUGUCUACUAGUACGAGAGUUAAAGAGGUAAUCGAGGAGUUUAUCUUCUUAAAUAAAAAAAUAUAGGUGAAUCGGAAUUUCAAGAAGGGGAAUGGCAAAUGGUUUGGAGUUCACAGUUCCCAGAAAAAAGCAUUGUGAAUCCAUACACAAAACUGCCAAAAGAAAGACAAGGACAAUGAUGGUUCAAAAUGUGGCUAUUGGCAGUAAGCAUCCCCUAAGAAUUCAAACAAUCACAACAAAUGACACAAAGGAUGUAUCUGCCACAGUUGAAGAGGUGUCAAGCUUAGUGAUGCUUUAGAGAAGUUAGGGAGAAGUUUGUUACAGGAGCUUUUGUUGUUAAGCAACAGCCUCAAGCUGCCAAACGAGCUGUUUCCCGCCGACAAGCAUGCAAGUUGGUGUGAAGUAGUUGGUUUGGCCAAACCCUUUUCACAGAAACACGUAUAGUCCUAUGGCUUUGAAUCCAUUUUGGAAAUGCAAAGGCCAAGUCUAACCAUUUUUAGCUAAAUACACAUCUGGUCAAGAUACCAGAUUUUGGAAUGUAUAAAAAAAACUCUUUAGCUAUAUAAUCCAUCAAUGUUUAUAACC